rnacentral:sRNA from 1 species
UUUCUUUAGGUUUUUAAGUUCUGUUUUCAUACCUUUAUAUAGUUUUUAUUUUUAAAACGAAAAUUAUUUUUUCCUUCCUAGAUCCAGAAUAUUAAACAGACGAACAGUGCUCUCAAAGAAAAACUUGAUGGUGGAAUAGAACCAUAUCGACUUCCAGAGGUCAUUCAGAAAUGUAACGCACGUUGGACUACAGAAGAGCAGCUUCUCGCCGUACAAGGUAGGGGGAAGUUCUUCUAAAGAGUUUAGGAGGCCGGCUGUGGUGGCUCACACCUGUAAUCCCAACACUUUGGAAGGUUGACGCAUUUGCUUGAGCCCAGGAGCUCAAGGCUGCAUUGAUCCAUGAUCACACCACCGCAUUCCAGCCUGGACAACAGAGGGAGACCCUGACUU